rnacentral:rRNA from 1 species
UACGUAGGGCGCAAGCGUUAUCCGGAAUUAUUGGGCGUAAAGAGCUCGUAGGCGGCUUGUCGCGUCGUUCGUGAAAACCUGCAGCUCAACUGCAGGCUUGCGGUCGAUACGGGCAGGCUAGAGUUCGGUAGGGGAGACUGGAAUUCCUGGUGUGAGCGGUGAAAUGCGCAGAUAUCAGGAAGAACACCCGUGGCGAAGGCGGCUCUCUGGAACGGUACUGACGCUGAGACGCGAAAGCGUGGGGAGCGAACAGG